ACCCUCUCAGGAUCAUACCUGAAGAGUUUCCAGUACUCUACCAGUCUUGACUACAGGAGGGAGAGUAAAGCAGAGGCAUAAUCAUUCCAUUCCUAGUUUGGGCAGUGACUAAUAAGUGGAAGGCAAUCUGCUACACAU